UGUAAAUGCCAACAAGAUCUGGAAACACAUGGGUUGCUUCCUAUAGCAGAACUGGUGGACCUGGCAUCUUGGGGAAGAGCAGCUGCUAGGAUUGUCAGCUUCCAGGAUUAAAAAACAGCAAACGACAACAACAAAUCCAAAACGAUGACAACUGUAACUAUGCUUAAUUAUUCCAUCCUCUUUUAAACAAUUGAUGUAAUAGAAAACCUAGAUUUGAGUUUCUGUUCCUCCAGUCCCUGACCGUGUGACUUUGGCUAAGUGGCCUCCUCUCUCCCAGCCUCUGCUUCUCCUGCAGUCAAGCAGGGAGGUUAAUGGAUGUCUUAUAAGGCCAGCUGUGGACCUGCCUUAGCGAAUUUGGCCUCAUAGUACAAAUUGGUCUCUGCAGCGAAGACUGCUAAGAGAUUGUGAGCAGAGAUCUUGAACUUUUAUUUACCACUGUGUGCCCAAAGCCUAGCACUAUGGAAAGUAUAUAAAAAAAGAAAAAAAAUAUUUCAGGGGAUAUACAGAUGUUACAUACUCAGAACUUCAAAAACAUAACCUCACCCAGGCUUGAUGUGGCCUCGGAAUCUUCUAACUGGAUUUGGGUCAAAAGACUUUUACUGAACCAGGUUUGUUUUGCCUGACACACAGCAAGCCAAAGUGCUAGGAUGCCGAGGAUGCAGCAAAGAGAGCAUUUAGCCCAAGCAAGGAGAUGGGAGAACAAACUCAAAUCCCCUUCCCUGAAGAGUUGGAAUUCUGAAAAACAUGGAACAGAGUUACAAAGCCUCCAGCUAUGGCUUCACCAAGUAGAAAUUUCAUUCUUCCAG